UACGUAGGGGGCAAGCGUUGUCCGGAUUUAUUGGGCGUAAAGAGCGUGUAGGCGGCCAGGUAGGUCAGCUGUGAAAACUCGAGGCUCAACCUCGAGACGCCGGUUGAAACCAUCUGGCUAGAGUCCGGAAGAGGAGAGUGGAAUUCCUGGUGUAGCGGUGAAAUGCGCAGAUAUCAGGAAGAACACCAGUGGCGAAGGCGGCUCUCUAGUCCGGUACUGACGCUGAGACGCGAAAGCGUGGGGAGCGAACAGG
rnacentral:rRNA from 1 species